CGACUUCUCAAGAGUUGACCUCGAAUCAGGUAGGACUACCC
rnacentral:rRNA from 1 species